GGCUUGACCGGGGUUGUGGGGUUUGGAGGGAGCCUACAGAGCUGAAACACCCUUCUUGUCACAUCAUGUUUAAGAUCAACAGAUCCUUUGCCAGAUGCAGAAAAUCCUGUAUUCACAAAAGGCCCCCAGAAAGCAUUUUCUGUGAGUGUGCUGGGGAGGCCGCUCAGGCCCAUGAAGAAUGCUAUCUGUAAGAGCCUUCUCUGUGGCCAUGAGCCACUUGGCAUGGCAGCUCUCCGUUCCGGGGUGUCCUCCACAGCUGGAGUCAGGAGCACAAGCUUGGCUCAAGAACAUAGACUCUGGGCAAGGUGCUGGUGAGAACAGCAGAGCCAGCUGGAGGCUCUGGGAGGAACUCCAUCUGGAAGGAAGCAUGAUGUGUCCAGAGGGCAGCGGGGUCUGGUGGAGUCAAUGCUGGCGAGGGUGUGUGUAUAGUGGCAAGACUCUAGACCAGGGUGCAAAUUCAGGCCAGCAGAUGGAGAAGCUGGAGCUUCCUGGGACUGAACCAGCAGGCAGGAGUCAGUCCAGUUGGGUGGCUUGGGCAGAGAGCAAGGGAAGCAGAAUGCAGAUCUACAUGGGGACCCAGAUUCCUGAGGUGGCUAAAGGUGGUGACUUGGCCCCACAAGCUGGAGCUGGCCAGAGCAGAGCUAUGGCAGAGCUGCCCACCUGGGGCCAGGUGGGCUGAGGACAGAGCAGCCUCCUCAGCACGAAGAAGUCCCGUAAUAUGAGUGCUGGCAGGGGGAGGCUGCAGGGGGCUUGGCUGGCUGGGGUAAUGAGGACAGGUGAGUCUGAAAGAACAUCUGAUUGGUCUUUGCAGUGAUGAGGUUGUGAGCAUUCACACCAGGUGGCCACUCUUCUCUGACAGUGUUCCCACUUGGUCUGUAAGUAAGGUCCAUCUAGUAAGGACUAGAUGUGUCGGCCAAGGCCAUACUGGUGAGAAGACAUCUGAUGCUGGCUUCAGCAUGUGACCUCUGGAAUAAGGCAGGUGUGGGCUCAAAUCCCAGCUUUAUCACUUGCCAAUGUCAUAGCCUUGGGGUUGUUAUUGAUCCCUCUGGGACAGGGCUAAUUAAAAGCACUGUUAUAAGGAUGCAUGAGAUAAUGUUGGCAAAGAGCACCCAUGGUUAUAACAGAUGAAGCCCAGGAAGGUCAUUCUCCCUGAUUGCACUGGCUACCUACAAUCAACUCCAUGACCACAGCCAUCUGCUCAGCCAUUAGUUUACUGGUCCCCACAUCCUUGUUUCUUAACUUCUAAAAUGUAUUGAGUCACAAACUCCUUUCAAAACCUGAUGAAAACUCUGCCUACUCCCUCCACGAAAAUCCAAGCAUACAUUUUGCAAGGGAUUUCAGAUGGUUCACAGAUACUCAAGUUGAGAAUCCCUGCUCUUGAGUUCAAGGCUGGUUUUAUAAGUGAAGUGUCAUUUUGCCAGUCACAGGCCAUAUGUGUGUGCAAUCCUACCUUAACAUUCUGAUUUGUGGAACUGACUUGGUACUUGAUACACACUGUACCCUAUGCAUUGACUGAUAGGUUAAGUAAGACCAUGACUCUGGCAUAGCCCACGAAACGCCUCUACUCAUUUCUGGCAGCUAUCUGGACAGCUUCUGAGCCUGCAACAAACCCUGCUGCUUGGAAUUUAGGGGACCCCUUCUCCUUUUUGUCUUGCUGAAACCAUCUUUCCACAGGGAGACAUCAAGUUAUGAUCUGGAUCUGACCUUCCCUAUAGUCCUGCCUCAUUGGGGGGGACCAGGUCAUUCCCCUGCUCCUGCUCCAGCUCUGGAUCUGCUUUAUUCUAUCAUCCCAUAACCCACCCUCCAGAUCCCUGGAAUCUACAGAAGAAGAUUUUACUGGUGUAGCCAAGUCCUUCCAGCCAGGCCACAACCUUUUUUUCAAUGGGUGGGUUUCUGCCUCAUAAAAUGCCUUCACGUGUAAGCUGGUCAUACUUUUCACUUUUCCAAACAGGCUUGUUUCCUCACUUCCUCCAUGGAGGGUUGGAUCAAUGUGCCAGGAUGAGGCAGGGAUUCUGAAUUCCCAGACAUUAUGGGGUUGAUUCUCCCCGAAAGGGCCAUCGCAGGCAUGUGAAAGGAGUCCAUACUGGAGGAGUUAGGGAUUGGGGUCUUCGUGAGCUAGUUGUGUAUCCUUGGGCUCUGUGGUUGGUCACCUUGGGUCAGUGGACUUGGUGCCUCUUUGUGGCUCCGUGGCAAACACCGGAGUUACCUGUGGACAAUGAACAGCAAAGGAACGUCAACACCACCGAACACGUGGCUGGCUCCAGAUCCUGGGGGCUCUUGUCCGGCAGGUCUGGGUGGGGCCUGCAGGCAUGUACUUUUUAGAAAGUUCACAGGGUCUUCUGACACAUGUGUCUGUUGGAGAGCCACCAGACCAGAAUGACGUCCAACAGAGCUCUUUCCAGGGGAGGGGCUGGUAAGUGACUUCCAAAACGUUUCUAAGGCUUGGAAAAACAGCAGUGAAGGAGUGACUCAGUGCUUGGGUCAUGCACAUUCUUCCCGAGUGAGGCUGAGCCACCCCAGAGCCCCUGCUCUGCACUCCCAUCUGCUGUUCCCCCAGACGCGUGACACCUCCUCCACUGGGCAGUGGGGCGGGGGGGAUGUUUUCAUGUUCGCUGGCCGGCCCUGGGCCUUCCAAGGGGUCAUUUGAGCCUGAGUAGGACUGUUAAAGAAAAAUAGCAGAGGGGAUGAAAAAUGGGCUUGAUUUCAAAGAAGUGUGUUUGCAGACAGGGGAGGGCAGGCUUCCCGGGCAGGCUUUGCCUCCGAGUGCUGAGUCACGACCCACCGCUGGCUCAGCACUGUUUCACAAUCAGCCUCGGGGUUCACUUGCAUCAGGCCCAUUCCAAGAAAAAGCCCAAGCCUGGCCUAGCAACGUGCUUUUUUGGUGUGUUAAACACAAAGAUGAAUUGUUCAAAAUAUGAGAGAAAACAGUCUUGAAAGUGUUAUGGGCGGGUUUCCUAAGAAUCCCUUGGAGAUUUUGGACCUCAUUUUUUUUUCUCUGAUUCUAUUACUUUGGAAUACAGUAGCCCAAACAGUUAGCUGCCCUGGAAAACAUUUAUCAAGCUCCUAGUUGCUCCCUGCCUGGUAUCUCAGGCAAACACCUGGGCCCUUCUCUGAGAAGCCCAAGGGAAGAUCACUGAUGAUCACGUGGGGGGACUGGAGACCCGCCUGGGGUCCAGUGUCCUGACGUGUCCAUGGUCUCUGCAGCUACUUGCUCUCCUGAAUGACACCUCCAGACCCACCUGGGCCUACCAAGCAAUGUCUUUCCACCUUACCUUUCGAGAUUCGGUCCCUCUGAACAGGAGUCUGUAGCUUCUGUUGAUAUCGGUGAGAAAGCAGCGCCAAAGGUUUCAUUAAAAUACGGACCGAGCAGGUGUACAGGUUAGAUGGUGACCGCUGAAAGGUACAUCCACACCCUGAUGACAAGUAUCUGGGAAUGUUACUUUAAUAAAAAAAUGGAGUUUAAGUAAAAUAUAUAAAAUUUAAGGAGAGUCUUUGAGGUGAAGAGAUUAUCAGUUUGUCUGAUAAGUCCUAAAUGCAGUGAGAAGUGUGCUUGUAGGGACGCCCAAAAGGCAGACUGGAGUGAGGUGACCACACGCCAAGGGAUGCCUGGGGCCACCAGAAGCUGGGCGAGGCAGGAGGGGCCCUCUCCCAGAGCCCAUGUAUGUGGCUCUGCUGCCAGCUUCACCUCACGCUCUGGCCUCCAGAACUGUGAGAAUUUCCGUUGUUUGAAGUCACUCCAUUUGUAGUAAUUUGUUAUGGCAGCCCCAGGAAAUGAAAACAAUGGGUGUGUGCACACACAUGCACACGCACACGCACACACACACACACCCUGGUGAGCGUGCUACACACACAAGACCUGGACUCUUGAUGGGAGCCAGAGGGCAGCUAGGAUGGAGGGUUCAGCAGACACCUGGACCAUCUCCUCUUGGAGCCUAUACCUCCCUACCACCCAGGCCCUGCAUUCUGCCCAGCAGAUGCCCACUUGUCAGCCUCAGUCUCCAGGUUGCUGCCCAGGAACGUCACAUCCUGCCCUCAGUUCUCUGCCUCGGCACACCCCCACAGCUAAAGGGACUCAGCUGGCUGGUCUGAGGUCCAUCGCCCUGACCCCUAGGCCACUCCCUGAGGGGGGGGUCACUGUCCUGUGGUUCCAGGGACUUUCUCCUUCUGGAACCAGCUCAGCCCUCCUGUCAUGUCUGCCUUUGAGGACCCCAGGCUGCCCCGAGUGGCCCCUGAUGUCUCACGGACUACAUGUCCCUGUCCCACAGCUAUCCUCUGAGCCUUUUUUUCCCCCUCCUUGAAAUAUGUUCUGUGUCUCCAUCCUUUAUCAUUUGGAUUUUAAGGAUGACUUGAGCCAUUUUGGAUUUUGAUGAAGAGUCUUGAUGAUUUUUCUUAUUCACUUUUAGGUAUUAGGGGAUGUCAAUGUUUCCUUCCUGAGACUGAAAGCGUGAAGGUUUUCAGCACAUUAUUACAGCUAUUAUUAUGUUCUGAAUGUUGUUCUGAGGGUAAUAAACCCUAAAUUUACCAUGACUAUUAUAUCUAGAAAACAGAUAUAAUACCUGGAGAUCAUGCAUUUUGUCACUAUUUUAUCUCCCAGCCUUUAGCGUUUGACAUUCUCUGAAAGGGUAUUUUCUUUUAAUACAGCUUUUGAUAAGACAGUUCUAGUUAGAACAAAUACUUCUUUUUUUAAAAAAAUUAUUUUUUAAAAUUUAUUUGAGGGAGAGAGAGAGAGCGUGAGAGAACACAAGUUGGGUGGGGGAACAGGCAGAGGGAAAGGGAUUGCAGACAUUCCACUAAGCAGGGAGCCCAGCUUGGGCUCCAUCCCAGGACCCCAGGAUCACGACCUGAGCUGAAGUCAGAUGCUUAACCGACUGAGCCACCCAGGGGCCCCUAGAAGAAAUACUCUAAAGAAAACUAGAGAGAUAAGUGAGUCAUGACUUCACAAGGGGCCAGGUGAACCAUAACUAUCUCUUUUCUGUUUCAUGUCAGCUCCUACCAUGGCUAUUAAUUGAGAAGAGUAUCCUGGAGUUCUGAUUGUUUUUUCUCCUUUAUGAGGGCAUAGGAAGACUUGUUUUAGUUGGGAUUGACCACUGUUAGCCUCACUAUGGCCCUCCUGUUCACAGCAAUGGGGAUUCUUUUCAUUCCAGUCUGAAAUUUAUCUUCUGAUUUUCUGCAUGCACUAAAUGCAUUCCCUUCAUCUCCUUCCCCAUCCAUCAUGGUGGAAUGCUCCAGUCAUGGGAUCUGAGGAGAAAGGUCAGAUGGGACACCUGUUGGACAUACUACUUUGUCAAAUAAUAACCAGAAAGAAAAUAAUUGAAAGAAGACAGACAGGAAUUCAUUACUAAUUAUAGAGGAAGGCCAUCUUGGCUUCAGAUGCAGAGUUCAAGAGAAGUAUAUUUGCGAAGUAAGUAGUAUUAAAAAAGUUUAUGUUUACAGGUUGGACAUAGUUCAUAUGUUCUCUGAGACUUCAGAAUUAUAAGCCAUCAAGGAGAUGCUAUGAGAGACCAAAAAUAAUUUUAUCUUUCAUCAUGGGUAGCUUCACUCUUAAAAUAAAGUCUUCCCAGCCGUGAUGUCAUUUAAUUACUAAUAAAAGCAAUUAUAUUCCCAUC
ensembl:lincRNA